UUGCUUCAGCAGCACAUAUACUAAAAUUGGAAUGAUACAGAGAAAAUUAGCAUGGUCCCUGCACAAGGAAGAGACACAUAAAUUCAUGAAGCAUUCCAUAUUUUU
ensembl:snRNA U6 U6 spliceosomal RNA